GAUGAACGCUGACAGAAUGCUUAACACAUGCAAGUCAACUUGAAUUUGGGUUUUUUAACUUAGAUUUGGGUGGCGGACGGGUGAGUAACGCGUAAAGAACUUGCCUCACAGCUAGGGACAACAUUUGUAAACGAAUGCUAAUACCUGAUAUUAUGAUUAUAAGGCAUCUUAGAAUUAUGAAAGCUAUAUGCGCUGUGAGAGAGCUUUGCGUCCCAUUAGCUAGUUGGAGAGGUAACGGCUCACCAAGGCGAUGAUGGGUAGCCGGCCUGAGAGGGUGAACGGCCACAAGGGGACUGAGACACGGCCCUUACUCCUACGGGAGGCAACAGUGGGGAAUAUUGGACAAUGGACCAAGAGUCUGAUCCAGCAAUUCUGUGUGCACGAUGACGUUUUUCGGAAUGUAAAGUGCUUUCAGUUGGGAAGAAAAAAAUGACGGUACCAACAGAAGAAGUGACGGCUAAAUACGUG
rnacentral:rRNA from 1 species